GUUGUAUAGUCAAGUAAUUAAGUGCAUGUGGUGGAUGCCUUGGCAGUCAGAGGCGAUGAAAGACGUGAUAGCCUGCGAAAAGCUCCGGGGAGGCGGCAAAUAUCCUUUGAUCCGGAGAUGUCUGAAUGGGGGAACCCACCUACUUUAAGGUAGGUAUUGCAACAUGAAUACAUAGUGUUGCAAGGCGAACGAGGGGAAGUGAAACAUCUCAGUACCCUUAGGAAAAGAAAUCAAUUGAGAUUCCCUCAGUAGCGGCGAGCGAACGGGGAUCAGCCCAUUAAGUUAUGUGUGUUUUAGUGGAACGCUCUGGGAAGUGCGAACGUAGAGGGUGAUAUUCCCGUACACGAAAGGGCACACAUAAUGAUGACGAGUAGGGCGAGGCACGUGAAACCUUGUCUGAAUAUGGGGGGACCAUCCUCCAAGGCUAAAUACUCCUGACUGACCGAUAGUGAACCAGUACCGUGAGGGAAAGGCGAAAAGAACCCCUGUGAGGGGAGUGAAAUAGAUCCUGAAACCGCAUGCAUACAAGCAGUGGGAGCACCUUCGUGGUGUGACUGCGUACCUUUUGUAUAAUGGGUCAGCGACUUAUAUUCAGUAGCAAGGUUAACCGUAUAGGGGAGCCGUAGAGAAAUCGAGUCUUAAUAGGGCGUUUAGUUGCUGGGUAUAGACCCGAAACCAGGCGAUCUAUCCAUGAGCAGGUUGAAGGUUGGGUAACACUAACUGGAGGACCGAACCCACUGUCGUUGAAAAGCCAGGGGAUGACUUGUGGAUAGGGGUGAAAGGCUAAUCAAGCCUGGUGAUAGCUGGUUCUCCCCGAAAGCUAUUUAGGUAGCGCCUCGGACGAAUACCAUAGGGGGUAGAGCACUGUUUCGGCUAGGGGGUCAUCCCGACUUACCAAACCGAUGCAAACUCCGAAUACCUAUGAGUACUAUCCGGGAGACAGACUGCGGGUGCUAACGUCCGUAGUCAAGAGGAAAACAAUCCAGACCGCCAGCUAAGGCCCCAAAAUCAUAGUUAAGUGGGAAACGAUGUGGGAAGGCAUAGACAGCUAGGAGGUUGGCUUANNNNNNNNNNNNNNNNNNNNNNNNNNNNNNNNNNNGAAGCAGCCACCCUUUAAAGAAAGCGUAAUAGCUCACUAGUCGAGUCGGCCUGCGCGGAAGAUGUAACGGGGCUAAAACUAUGUGCCGAAGCUGCGGAUUUGACAUUAGUCAAGUGGUAGGGGAGCGUUCUGUAAGCCGAUGAAGGUGUAUUGAGAAGUNNNNNNNAUGCUGGAGGUAUCAGAAGUGCGAAUGCUGACGUGAGUAACGACAAAACGGGUGAAAAACCCGUUCGCCGAAAGACCAAGGGUUCCAGUCCAACGUUAAUCGGGGCUGGGUGAGUCGACCCCUAAGGCGAGGCCGAAAGGCGUAGUCGAUGGGAAAAUGGUUAAUAUUCCAUUACUUCUGUGUAAUGCGAUGAGAGGACGGAGAAGGCUAAAUCAGCCUGGCGUUGGUUGUCCAGGUGAAAGGAUGUAGGCAUGUAUCUUAGGCAAAUCCGGGGUACUCUAUGCUGAGAUCUGAUAGCAAGCUGUACUUGUACAGCGAAGUGGUUGAUGCCAUGCUUCCAGGAAAAGUCUCUAAGCUUCAGUUACACAGGAAUCGUACCCGAAACCGACACAGGUGGUCAGGUCGAGUAGACCAAGGCGCUUGAGAGAACUCUGCUGAAGGAACUAGGCAAAAUGGUACCGUAACUUCGGGAGAAGGUACGCUGUUGUUGGUGAUGGAACUCGCUUCCUGAGCUGACGACAGCCGCAGAAACCAGGCCGCUGCAACUGUUUAUUAAAAACAUAGCACUCUGCAAACACGAAAGUGGACGUAUAGGGUGUGAUGCCUGCCCGGUGCUGGAAGGUUAAUUGAUGGGGUUAGCGUAAGCGAAGCUCUUGAUCGAAGCCCCAGUAAACGGCGGCCGUAACUAUAACGGUCCUAAGGUAGCGAAAUUCCUUGUCGGGUAAGUUCCGACCUGCACGAAUGGCAUAAUGAUGGCGGCGCUGUCUCCAGCAGAGGCUCAGUGAAAUCGAAAUCGCUGUGAAGAUGCAGUGUACCCGCGGCUAGACGGAAAGACCCCGUGAACCUUUACUGCAGCUUGACACUGAACUUUGACCUUACUUGUGUAGGAUAGGUGGGAGGCUUUGAAGCUGGAACGCUAGUUCCAGUGGAGCCGUCCUUGAAAUACCACCCUGGUAAUGUUGAGGUUCUAACUCUGUCCCGUGAUCCGGGACGAGGACCGUGUCUGGUGGGUAGUUUGACUGGGGCGGUCUCCUCCUAAAGAGUAACGGAGGAGUACGAAGGUGCGCUCAGCGUGGUCGGAAAUCACGCGUAGAGUAUAAAGGCAAAAGCGCGCUUAACUGCGAGACCCACAAGUCGAGCAGGUACGAAAGUAGGUCUUAGUGAUCCGGUGGUUCUGUAUGGAAGGGCCAUCGCUCAACGGAUAAAAGGUACUCUGGGGAUAACAGGCUGAUACCGCCCAAGAGUUCAUAUCGACGGCGGUGUUUGGCACCUCGAUGUCGGCUCAUCUCAUCCUGGGGCUGAAGCAGGUCCCAAGGGUAUGGCUGUUCGCCAUUUAAAGAGGUACGCGAGCUGGGUUUAGAACGUCGUGAGACAGUUCGGUCCCUAUCUACCGUGGGCGCUGGAAAUUUGAGAGGAUCUGCUCCUAGUACGAGAGGACCAGAGUGGACGAACCUCUGGUGUACCGGUUGUGACGCCAGUCGCAUCGCCGGGUAGCUAUGUUCGGAAGGGAUAACCGCUGAAAGCAUCUAAGCGGGAAGCCUACCUCAAGAUAAGAUUUCCCUAGGACUUUAUGUCCUCUAAAGAGCCGUUCGAGACUAGGACGUUGAUAGGUUGGAUGUGGAAGCAUAGUGAUAUGUGAAGCUGACCAAUACUAAUUGCUCGUGAGGCUUGACUAUACAACACCCAAGCAGUUG
rnacentral:rRNA from 1 species